AUGACUCCCUGCAGGAGGAGGCAGCUGCCUUCAGCCAGUACGUCCACACAAAGCAGCACUGAGGCAUGGUUGUGACUGCUUUUAAGAAAGCUCCAAAAUGACUGCUCAAUUUUCAAUGCAACCAUUCAGAUGAGCAAUCUGAAGCUCAGCAUUGCCCGAAAUCACACAACUACAAGGUUCAGAGCUGGUAUGCAAACCAGGUUGUUUGCCUCUAGAGUCCUUCAAGAUGUAUUCAAGGAAAGAGAAGCUGAAGCAUGAAAGCUAACAGCCCCUUCGGUUAAAAACAAAACAAAACAAAAAACUAGCAAGUGGAUGAACUAUAUAAGUCCAACUUCCGAUAUACCCGCCAUUCCUGGAUUCUACCUUCCAUCUUAUGUGAGAGGAUCAAUAUUCAGCCCCAGAGUUACCCCCUUCCCUGCUACAACUCUGGACUGGAACCCAGUGUUGGAGAAGUGAAUAAAGUGCGCCAAAGAUGGCCAACAGGGCUAAAACAGAGUCUGGUCUCUAGCUUAGAGACCCCUCUUCCGGGUUCUUCUUCCUUUGUUUGCUGUGUGUGGGAAAACCCCCACAGAUAUGGAAGCUGACGACUAUAAAUUAUCCUCCCCACUUGCAUUUGGCGCUCAGACCUUUGGAGAAACAGUCUCCUCUGAGCCCACCAGUGUUAAAUAAAUCUCCAAUGCACCAAGA